GGGGAAUGAGGAUCAGCAGUAGUUUUGACAUGUUUCUGACGAUGAUCUGACCCAGAGGUGGGCGAAGUCUUGGGAAAAGCUUUUGUAGAAUUAUCAUUAUCAAUACGUCUUACAAAGUUGAUCUUUGAAGCAGAAGAAGGCGUGGCGGGUUGACUUUUUGAUCUUCGAGGCGGACUCAGAUUGUGAGGUAGAGGUGGAUGAUGAUCAGAAGAAGGCGUGGGAGGUUGACUUUUUGCUUUUGGAGUUGAAAUCGGAGUCGGAGGUGGAGGUGGAGCAGAAGAAGGUGUCUCGGAGUUGGGAUUAGUUUUGUUGCCGUUAGAAUUAGGAUUGGUUGCUGCAGCUUGUGGCUUUGGCUUUGAAGAGCUGGGAAA
rnacentral:lncRNA from 1 species